AUCACCGUAUGCAUUUGGUACGCCCUGCUUGAACGUUGACUCGUGUGGUUCUGUGAGGAUAUAUUGCUGACGUUGAAAGCAAGCACAUCAUAAUUGAACACCAGGCCAGUGCGAGAAAAUGAUAUAUUUUGUAUUGGGAUUGUGUCUGGCUUUUUUUACGGUCAAUCUUGCGUCCACUACGUUUAACGUUGAAGUGGUGCGUAACGGCCAGCUCAAAAGGCCUACAUAUGUCCAUAACAACCAAUGCGUCCUGAGCAAGUCUGUUUCAUUGAAUGAUAGCGAAGAAAAAAGCUUCCCACGUCCAUGUAUAAAACUUACAUGCCUUUUAAAUGAAUCAAUGGUGUUAGAAGACUACUGCACGGCGGGCUUGCAAACGGAUGAUGUUCAAUUUGGCGCUGAUAGCGAGAGAGCACCUUUCCCUUUUUGCUGUCCCAUGUACACCGGGCUAAGCAAAACGGCCAAAGAAUAAUGACUACCCUUGCUUAAAAUGAUCCUGAACUGCAAAUGCGUUAUUUGUUUGUUCUUACUGUAUAUUAUUAAAGAGUCAUUGAAUAAA
rnacentral:lncRNA from 1 species